UACAGAGGGUGCUAGCGUUGUUCGGAAUUACUGGGCGUAAAGGGCUCGUAGGCGGCCAACUAAGUCACACGUGAAAUCCCCAGGCUUAACCUGGGAACUGCGUGUGAUACUGGAUGGCUUGAAUCCGGGAGAGGGAUGCGGAAUUCCAGGUGUAGCGGUGAAAUGCGUAGAUAUCUGGAGGAACACCGGUGGCGAAGGCGGCAUCCUGGACCGGUAUUGACGCUGAUGAGCGAAAGCCAGGGGAGCAAACGGG
rnacentral:rRNA from 1 species